rnacentral:rRNA from 1 species
GAUGAACGCUGGCGGCGUGCCUAAUACAUGCAAGUCGAGCGAACAGAUGAGAAGCUUGCUUCUCUGAUGUUAGCGGCGGACGGGUGAGUAACGCGUGGGUAACCUACCUAUAAGACUGGGAUAACUCCGGGAAACCGGGGCUAAUACCGGAUAAUAUUUUGAACCGCAUGGUUCAAUAGUGAAAGACGGUUUCGGCUGUCACUUAUAGAUGGACCCGCGCCGUAUUAGCUAGUUGGUAAGGUAACGGCUUACCAAGGCGACGAUACGUAGCCGACCUGAGAGGGCGAUCGGCCACACUGGAACUGAGACACGGUCCAGACUCCUACGGGAGGCAGCAGUAGGGAAUCUUCCGCAAUGGGCGAAAGCCUGGCGGAGCAACGCCGCGUGAGUGAUGAAGGUCUUCGGAUCGUAAAACUCUGUUGUUAGGGAAGAACAAAUUUGUUAGUAACUGAACAAAUCUUGACGGUACCUAACCAGAAAGCCACGGCUAACUACGUGCCAGCAGCCGCCGUAA